GUUGGGAGCUCUCCCAUAUGGUCGACCUGCAGGCGGCCGCGAAUUCACUAGUGAUUCGUAUUACCGCGGCUGCUGGCACGGAGUUAGCCGGAGCUUAUUCUCCCGGUACUGUCAUUAUCAUCCCGGGUAAAAGAGCUUUACAACCCUAAGGCCUUCAUCACUCACGCGGCAUUGCUGGAUCAGGCUUUCGCCCAUUGUCCAAUAUUCCCCACUGCUGCCUCCCGUAGGAGUCUGGGCCGUGUCUCAGUCCCAGUGUGGCUGAUCAUCCUCUCAGACCAGCUAAGGAUCGUCGCCUUGGUGCGCCUUUACCACACCAACUAGCUAAUCCUACGCGGGCUCAUCCCUCGGCGAUAAAUCUUUGGACUUACGUCGUCAUCCGGUAUUAGCAGUCAUUUCUAACUGUUAUUCCGAACCAAGGGGCAGAUUCCCACGCGUUACGCACCCGUGCGCCACUAAGGCCGAAGCCUUCGUUCGACUUGCAUGUGUUAGGCAUGCCGCCAGCGUUCGUUCUGAGCCAUGAUCAAACUCUAAUCGAAUUCCCGCGGCCGCCAUGGCG
rnacentral:rRNA from 1 species